rnacentral:rRNA from 1 species
UACGUAGGGGGCGAGCGUUGUCCGGAAUCAUUGGGCGUAAAGCGCGUGUAGGCGGCCCGGUAAGUCCGCUGUGAAAGUCCAGGGCUCAACCCUGGGAUGCCGGUGGAUACUGUCGGGCUCGAGUCCGGAAGAGGCGAGUGGAAUUCCUGGUGUAGCGGUGAAAUGCGCAGAUAUCAGGAAGAACACCAAUGGCGAAGGCAGCUCGCUGGGACGUGACUGACGCUGAGACGCGAAAGCGUGGGGAGCAAACAGG